AUUGAACGCUGGCGGCAGGCCUAACACAUGCAAGUCGAGCGGGGUUUUCGGACCUAGCGGCGGACGGGUGAGUAAUGCGUAGGAAGCUACCCGAUAGAGGGGGAUACCAGUUGGAAACGACUGUUAAUACCGCAUAAUGUCUACGGACCAAAGUGUGGGACCUUCGGGCCACAUGCUAUCGGAUGCGCCUACGUGGGAUUAGCUAGUUGGUGAGGUAAUGGCUCACCAAGGCGACGAUCCCUAGCUGGUUUGAGAGGAUGAUCAGCCACAUUGGAACUGGGACACGGUCCAGACUCCUACGGGAGGCAGCAGUGGGGAAUAUUGGACAAUGGGCGCAAGCCUGAUCCAGCCAUGCCGCGUGUGUGAAGAAGGCCUUCGGGUUGUAAAGCACUUUCAGUAGGGAGGAAGCGUUGUGUGUUAAUAGUACACAGCGUUGACGUUACCUACAGAAGAAGCACCGGCUAACUCUGUGCCAGCAGCCGCGGUAACAC
rnacentral:rRNA from 1 species